rnacentral:misc_RNA from 1 species
UGGGUUCAAUCACCACAAGAAGGCUGGUGCUAUGAACGCCUUGGUUCGAGUAUCUUCUGUACUCACGAACGCACCUUAUCUGUUGAACUUGGAUUGCGAUCAUUACAUUAACAAUAGUAAGGCUCUUAGAGAGGCAAUGUGCUUCAUGAUGGACCCGCUAGUCGGAAAGAAAGUGUGCUAUGUCCAAUUCCCCCAGAGGUUUGAUGGUAUUGAUCGACAUGAUCGAUAUGCAAAUCGGAACAUUGUUUUCUUUGAUAUUAACAUGAAGGGUCUCGAUGGCAUCCAAGGGCCAAUUUAUGUUGGCACGGGAUGUGUGUUUCGAAGGCAAGCACUCUUUGGUUUUGAUGCUCCGAAGACGAAGAAGCCACCGACGAGGACUUGCAACUGCUGGCCAAAGUGGUGCUGCUGUGGAUGUUGUUUCUCGUCUAAGAAGAAGAAGAAGACUACCAAGAGUAAGCAAGAAAAGAAGAGG